rnacentral:rRNA from 1 species
UACGAAGGGGGCUAGCGUUGCUCGGAAUGACUGGGCGUAAAGGGCGCGUAGGCGGAUGGUACAGUCAGAUGUGAAAUUCCCGGGCUUAACCUGGGGGCUGCAUUUGAUACGUGUGAUCUAGAGUGAGGAAGAGGGUCGUGGAAUUCCCAGUGUAGAGGUGAAAUUCGUAGAUAUUGGGAAGAACACCGGUGGCGAAGGCGGCGACCUGGUCCUUGACUGACGCUGAGGCGCGAAAGCGUGGGGAGCAAACAGG